rnacentral:rRNA from 1 species
CACGUAGGAGGCGAGCGUUGUCCGGAAUCAUUGGGCGUAAAGAGCUCGUAGGUGGCUUGUCACGUCGGGUGUGAAAGCUUGGGGCUUAACUCCAGGUCUGCAUUCGAUACGGGCUGGCUAGAGGUAGGUAGGGGAGAACGGAAUUCCUGGUGUAGCGGUGAAAUGCGCAGAUAUCAGGAGGAACACCGGUGGCGAAGGCGGUUCUCUGGGCCUUACCUGACGCUGAGGAGCGAAGGCGUGGGGAGCGAACGGG